rnacentral:rRNA from 1 species
CUGGAUAGGAAACAAAAAGGCAUCUUUUUGUUUUUAAAAGACCUUCUUAUGAAGGUAUGCUUAAAGAGGGGCUUGCGCCACAUUAGUUAGUUGGUAGAGUAAAAGCCUACCAAGACGAUGAUGUGUAGCUGGACUGAGAGGUUGAACAGCCACAUUGGGACUGAGACACGGCCCAAACUCCUACGGGAGGCAGCAGUAGGGAAUUUUCGGCAAUGGAGGAAACUCUGACCGAGCAACGCCGCGUGAACGAUGAAGUAUUUCGGUAUGUAAAGUUCUUUUAUUGAAGAAGAAAAAGUAGUGGAAAAACUAUAUUGACGUUAUUCAAUGAAUAAGCCCCGGCUAACUAUGUGCCAGCAGCCGCGGUAAGACAUAGGGGGCGAGCGUUAUCCGGAAUUAUUGGGCGUAAAGGGUGCGUAGGCUGUUAGAUAAGUCUAUAAUUUAAUUUCAGUGCUUAACGCUGUCUUGUUAUAGAAACUGUCUUGACUAGAGUGAGAUAGAGGCAAGCGGAAUUCCAUGUGUAGCGGUAAAAUGUGUAAAUAUAUGGAGGAACACCAGAAGCGUAGGCGGCUUGCUGGGUCUUUACUGACGCUGAGGCACGAAAGCGUGGGUAGCAAACAGGAUUAGAUACCCUGGUAGUCCACGCCGUAAACGAUGAGUACUAAGUGUCGGGGUAAAACUCGGUACUGAAGUUAACACAUUAAGUACUCCGCCUGAGUAGUACGUACGCAAGUAUGAAACUUAAAGGAAUUGACGGGACUCCGCACAAGCGGUGGAUCAUGUUGUUUAAUUCGAAGAUACACGAAAAAUCUUACCAGGUCUUGACAUACUCUGCAAAGCUAUAGAAAUAUAGUGGAGGUUAUCAGGGAUACAGGUGGUGCAUGGUUGUCGUCAGUUCGUGUCGUGAGAUGUUAGGUUAAGUCCUAAAACGAGCGCAACCCUUGUCGUUAAUUGCCAGCACGUAAUGGUGGGGACUUUAGCGAGACUGCCAAUUAAACAUUGGAGGAAGGUGAGGAUUACGUCAAAUCAUCAUGCCCCUUAUGAUCUGGGCUACAAACGUGAUACAAUGGCUGUGACAAAGAGUAGCUGAAACGCGAGUUUUUAGCCAAUCUCAAAAAAGCAGUCUCAGUUCGGAUUGAAGUCUGUAACUCGACUUCAUGAAGUUGGAAUCGCUAGUAAUCGCGAAUCAGCAUGUCGCGGUGAAUACGUUCUCGGGGUUUGUACACACCGCCCGUCAAACCACGAAAGUUAGCAAUGCCCGAAAGCAGUAGCUUAACUUCGCA